UCAGUUUCAACUGAAAAUUGUUUUCAAAUAUUUUGUAUUAAGAAAGAAGUUGUUCAGAUAGUUUUUGUUUGAUUGUUUCCGUAACUGACUUAUUCAGUAUUUUCCAAGUACUAGUUAUCAUAUAAAGAUUUUCGUUCUAAUUAUGAUUGCAGUACAGCAGACAAUGAAAGCCAUGGUGAGACAUGAAUUCAAUAUUCAUGUUUCUAUCAGUUUGGAAAAUAUAAACAUCCUACGAUGAAAAUAGACUAGAAGAUACUGAUAAUAAUAAUUGUUUUAUUCAACAUGGCAAUACAGGAGAUGACUCAAGGAAUGCUGAUACAUUUAUUUGUAUGCAUACAACUUUGGGAAAGUAUGAACAUCCAAUGUUUAAAAUGAACUAAAAGAUACUGAUUAUAAAGAAUUUAUGCAAUAUGGAAAUACAGCAAAUCACUCAAGGGAUGCUGAAACAUUAAUUGGUAUUCAAACAACUCUGGAAAAGUAUGAACAUCCAAUUUUGAAAAUGAACUAACGAAUACUGAUUAUAAUGAAUUUAUGCAAUUUACAAGUAAUGGUUAUUAGAUGGAAAUACAGCAAAUCACUCAAGGGAUGCUGAAACAUUAAUUGGUAUUCAAACAACUCUGGAAAAGUAUGAACAUCCAAUUUUGAAAAUGAACUAACGAAUACUGAUUAUAAUGAAUUUAUGCAAUUUACAAAUUGCAAUACAGCAGACAAUGAAAGCCAUGGUGAGACAUGAAUUCGCGAUUCUAUCAGUUUGGAAAAUAUAAACAUCCUAUGAUGAAAAUGGACUAGAAGAUACUGAUAAUAAUAAUUGUUUUAUUCAAGAUGGCAAUACAGGAGAUGACUAAAGGAAUGCUGAGACAUUUAUUUGUAUGCAUACAACUUUGGGAAAGUAUGAACAUCCAAUGUUGAAAAUGAACUAAGAGAUACUGAUUAUAAAGAAUUUAUGCAAUGUACGUGUAAUGGUUAUUAGAUGGAAAUACAGCAGAUCACUCAAAGGAUGCUAAAACAUUAAUUGGUAUUCAAACAACUCUGGAAAAUUAUGAACAUCCAAUUUCGAAAAUGAACUAACGAAUACUGAUUAUAAUGAAUUUAUGCACUUUACAUGUAAUGGUCAUUGAAUAUAAUUUAUAGAAUAUUAAUGUAGUGAUACAAUAGAUAUUUGUUAAUAAAUUGAAUAAAUGAUUAUUAAACACCUGAGAA